GAAGUUAAACUAAACCUAAAUACAAUAGGAAAAAAUAAACUAAAUAGGAAAACUAAAUUCUAAGUCCUAAAUAGAGUAGGAGACUUUCUAAUUAAUUCUAAUAUAAUUUCUGCGGUUGUUAGAAGUCUCCACAAGAUAUCCUAAGUGAAUUAGGACUAUUAGGAAAUUAAAAUUAGUUGAAAAAAAAAUUCUACCUUAUUGUCUAGGCCCUACAUCAUAUUUGGCCAUUAAUAACGAUGAUAGAAAGAGAUUAUCACGUACCAGUCUUUUUUUUUUUUU
rnacentral:misc_RNA from 1 species